UACGAAGGGGGCUAGCGUUGCUCGGAAUCACUGGGCGUAAAGCGCACGUAGGCGGCUUCUUAAGUCAGGGGUGAAAUCCUGGAGCUCAACUCCGGAACUGCCUUUGAUACUGAGGAGCUUGAGUCCGGGAGAGGUGAGUGGAACUGCGAGUGUAGAGGUGAAAUUCGUAGAUAUUCGCAAGAACACCAGUGGCGAAGGCGGCUCACUGGCCCGGUACUGACGCUGAGGUGCGAAAGCUAGGGGAGCGAACGGG
rnacentral:rRNA from 1 species